CCUACGGGUGGCUGCAGUGGGGAAUAUUGGACAAUGGGGGCAACCCUGAUCCAGCCAUGCCGCGUGUGUGAAGAAGGCCCUCGGGUUGUAAAGCACUUUCAGUGAGGAAGAACGCCUGGUGGUUAAUACCCAUCAGGAAAGACAUCACUCACAGAAGAAGCACCGGCUAACUCCGUGCCAGCAGCCGCGGUAAUACGGAGGGUGCGAGCGUUAAUCGGAAUUACUGGGCGUAAAGCGCGCGUAGGUGGCUUGAUAAGCCGGUUGUGAAAGCCCCGGGCUCAACCUGGGAACGGCAUCCGGAACUGUCAAGCUAGAGUGCAGGAGAGGAAGGUAGAAUUCCCGGUGUAGCGGUGAAAUGCGUAGAGAUCGGGAGGAAUACCAGUGGCGAAGGCGGCCUUCUGGGCUGACACUGACACUGAGGUGCGAAAGCGUGGGUAGCAAACAGGAUUAGAUACCCUAGUAGUC
rnacentral:rRNA from 1 species